ACAAUCUAACGAAUGGACCCAUGGGCAGUUCAUGGCAUUCCCAGUAACAACAUCAGAGUAGUUUUUAUAUUGUUUUAGGGAAUGAUAUAUACUAGAGAUCGACAUUCAAAAUGU
rnacentral:tmRNA from 1 species